rnacentral:rRNA from 1 species
CUUGACAUGUCCGGAAUGCCCUAGAGAUAGAGCAGUGCUCGCAAGAGAACUGGAACACAGGCGCUGCAUGGCUGUCGUCAGCUCGUGUCGUGAGAUGUUGGGUUAAGUCCCGCAACGAGCGCAACCCUUGCCAUUAGUUGCUACAUUCAGUUGGGCACUCUAAUGGGACUGCCGGUGACAAACCGGAGGAAGGUGGGGAUGACGUCAAGUCCUCAUGGCCCUUAUGGGUAG